rnacentral:misc_RNA from 1 species
GAAAUGCGAUAAGUAAUGUGAAUUGCAGAAUUCAGUGAAUCAUCGAAUCUUUGAACGCACCUUGCACUCCUUGGUAUUCCUUGGAGCAUGCCUGUUUGAGUAUCAUGAAAUCUUCAAAGUAAAUCUGUUGUUAACUCAAUUGGUUUCUACUUUGGUAUUGGAGGUCUUUGCAGCUUCACACCUGCUCCUCUUUGUUCAUUAGCUGGAUCUCAGUGUUAUGCUUGGUUCCACUCGGCGUGAUAAGUUAUCUAUCGCUGAGGACACUGUAAAAGGUGGCCAAGGUAAAUGCAGAUGAACCGCUUCUAAUAGUCCAUUGACUUGGACAAUACUUUUAUGAUCUGAUCUCAAAUCAGGUAGGACUACCCGCUGAACUUAAGC